rnacentral:rRNA from 1 species
UACGUAGGGUGCGAGCGUUAAUCGGAAUUACUUGGGACGGUAAAGGGUGCGCAGGGCGGUUUAAUAUAAGACAGAAUUGUGAAAUCCCCGGGCUCAACCUGGGAACUGCCAUUUGUGACUGCAUAGCUAGAGUACGGUAGAGGGGGAGUGGAAUUCGUCGUGUAGCAGUGAAAUGCGUAGAUAUGACGAGGAACACCGAUGCGAAGGCAAUCC